rnacentral:rRNA from 1 species
UACAGAGGUCCCAAGCGUUGUUCGGAAUUACUGGGCGUAAAGCGCGUGUAGGCGGCUGGGCAAGUCGGAUGUGAAAGCCCUGGGCUUAACCUAGGAAGUGCACUCGAAACUGCCGAGCUGGAGUUCUGGAGAGGAAGGCGGAAUUCUCGGUGUAGAGGUGAAAUUCGUAGAUAUCGAGAGGAACACCGGUGGCGAAGGCGGCCUUCUGGACAGAAACUGACGCUGAGACGCGAAAGCGUGGGGAGCAAACAGG